rnacentral:rRNA from 4 species
GUAAUAGCUCACUGGUCGAGUCGGCCUGCGCGGAAGAUGUAACGGGGCUAAACCAUGCACCGAAGCUGCGGCAGCGACACUGUGUGUUGUUGGGUAGGGGAGCGUUCUGUAAGCCUGCGAAGGUGUCCCGUGAGGGAUGCUGGAGGUAUCAGAAGUGCGAAUGCUGACAUAAGUAACGAUAAAGCGGGUGAAAAGCCCGCUCGCCGGAAGACCAAGGGUUCCUGUCCAACGUUAAUCGGGGCAGGGUGAGUCGACCCCUAAGGCGAGGCCGAAAGGCGUAGUCGAUGGGAAACGGGUUAAUAUUCCCGUACUUGGUGUUACUGCGAAGGGGGGACGGAGAAGGCUAUGUUGGCCGGGCGACGGUUGUCCCGGUUUAAGCGUGUAGGCUGGUUUUCCAGGCAAAUCCGGAAAAUCAAGGCUGAGGCGUGAUGACGAGGCACUACGGUGCUGAAGCAACAAAUGCCCUGCUUCCAGGAAAAGCCUCUAAGCAUCAGGUAACAUCAAAUC